rnacentral:rRNA from 1 species
AUUGAACGCUGGCGGCAGGCCUAACACAUGCAAGUCGAACGAGUGGCGGACGGGUGAGUAAUGUCUGGGAAACUGCCUGAUGGAGGGGGAUAACUACUGGAAACGGUAGCUAAUACCGCAUACCAUCGGAUGUGCCCAGAUGGGAUUAGCUAGUAGGUGGGGUAAAGGCUCACCUAGGCGACGAUCCCUAGCUGGUCUUAGAGGAUGACAGGCAACACUGGAACUGAGACACGGUCCAGACUCCGCAGGGAGGCAGGAGUGGGGAAUAUUGCAAAAUGGGCGAAAGCCUGAUGCAGCCAGGCCGCGUGUAUGAAGAAGGCCUUCGGGGUGUAAAGGACUUGCAGCGGGGAGGCGUUACCCGCAGAAGAAGCACCGGCUAACUCCGUGCCAGCCGCCGCGGUAAUAC